UACGUAGGUGGCAAGCGUUGUCCGGAAUUACUGGGCGUAAAGGGUGCGUAGGCGGAUAUUUAAGUAGAAAGUGAAAGGUUGGAGCUCAACUCCAACAUUGCUUCCUAUACUGGAUGUCUUGAGUUUCGGAGAGGAAGAUGGAACGACACGUGUAGCGGUGAAAUGCGUUGAUAUGUGUCGGAACACCAAUAGCGAAGGCAAUCUUCUGGACGAAUACUGACGCUGAGGCACGAAAGCCAAGGUAGCGAACAGG
rnacentral:rRNA from 1 species